rnacentral:tRNA from 1 species
CGAGAAAGUUACAAGAACUGCUA